UGAGCAUGAUGUUGUCUGGUUUUGGCUGGAGAAAGGAAAGCCACAUGAAUGCCCAGUCUGCUCACAGUAUUUUGAGCUUGAAGUGGUGGGACCUGGAGGAUCUCCCGAUGGACAUGACGACGAUGGUCAUCAUCACUGAUUAUAGCCUGCGGUUUUCCUUCUGGAAUAAAGUCUAGGAAAUGAAGAGACAAUUUUCAGUACGCUCUGCAGAUUUCAAAAUUCAAAAGCAUAAUGUUUUGUUUGAUUUUGAUUGGUCCUAGUUUUGUUGUUGUUGCAUUUGCAACAUUUGAGACGGAAUCUUCUCUGUGGUAAUAUAGACACAGGCGGGUCUCCUAUUGGAACAAUGGAUUUCUUCAAAUGCAUUUGUCGAAUAAUCGUUGGCUAUUGAUUCUUUACCUUGAUUUGGAACAUUUUCAUUUUCCUCAAAAGGGGACUUGUAGCGUACAGAUUGUAAGCUCCUUCCCUUCCCCCCUCCUUUUGGAAAAAUAUUAAGCACAUUUGUUCUAA